UACGUAGGGUGCAAGCGUUAAUCGGAAUUACUGGGCGUAAAGCGUGCGCAGGCGGUUUUGUAAGUCUGACGUGAAAUCCCCGGGCUCAACCUGGGAAUUGCGUUGGAGACUGCAAGGCUGGAGUCUGGCAGAGGGGGGUAGAAUUCCACGUGUAGCAGUGAAAUGCGUAGAGAUGUGGAGGAACACCGAUGGCGAAGGCAGCCCCCUGGGUCAAGACUGACGCUCAUGCACGAAAGCGGGGGGAGCAAACAGG
rnacentral:rRNA from 1 species